GAUGUAGAAUACUAGAGCAGAGUAGAACAAUCUACCUUUUAAGAAAGGGCAUUUAUUGUAAAUGUAAUAAGAUGAUUAGAGGUAGGCGUUUUGAGAGCGGCUAGGGACGGUAUCAUGUGUGUCCCAUGCUCAUUCUUUCCUUUUGCUCCAACCUCUAGCACGUUUAGUUUUUAUCCUUAGGUUUGAUGCUUUUCCAUCACCAAAUGGUUGCCAUACGCACAGAGAGUGAAUCUCAGCAAGGUGUUGUAUGAGUACAGAAGUAGGGAGUCUAUCAAGACGGCAAGAGAAGCCUGGUGGUGGGUAUUAUGGAGGGGAUGCAUGGAGCACUGGGUAUGGUGCAUAAGCAAUGAUUUCUGAUACAAUGAAAAUAAAUUUAAAAAAUUAAAAAAAAAUUUAAAAAAGAAAAAUAAAAGUUGAAAUAGUCACUGUAGAAAAAUAAAAUAAAAUAAAAAAUGUAUAAUACCAUAAAAAAAAGAGAGAGAGAGAAGGCUCUUCUCACAUACUUGUCUUCUUCUUCUUCUUCUUUUUUUUAAAGAUUUUAUUUAUUUAUUUGACAGAGAGAGAUCACAAGUAGGCAGCGAAGUAGGGGAGCGGGAAAGCAGGCCCCCCGCUAAGCAGAGAGCCUGAUGCAGGGCUCUAUCCCAGGACUCUGGGAUCAUGACCCCAGCCAAAGACAGAGGCUUAACCCACUGAGCCAGCCAGGGGCCCCACUUGUCUUCUUUUACACAAGAACAAAAAUCUGUCCCCAGAGUCCCUCUACUUCACAUCUCUUUGGGCAGAAAUGGAUCUCAUAGCCUCUCUGAGCAGCAAGGGUGGCAGGAAAAGGGAGUAUUUUGCUUUUUCAGUAUCUACAUUCAGAGAUGGGCAAGGAGAAGGGAUAGGAAAUGACUGACCAAAGUGUUUUUCAACACUAACAAGUUCUUUUUCUUUCUUUCCUUUCUAUUCUGCUCACAGAAGUCAUUGCCUGCCAACAGCCUACCACAGUCUUGGGAGUGAACUCCAACAAAGUUACCAUCAUGACUGCAGAUGCAUCCCAUCAAGAUGGAAAAAUGGGCUCCAAAUGCUGUUGCGCUAUUCCUGAAAGAAUGAUGCUGCCGAGUGCUACUGCGACCCCCGUCUUGCUGUAAAGCCUCUUGCUGCCCCACGUCUUAUCCUGUUAAGCAUCGUGAGAGGAGGCAGCUGGGAACAAGGUGCUCAUGGCAGAAGAGUUUUUGAAAAGCUCCCGCUGCCAGUGUCUCCCCGCCCACACGGUCCCCACCGGCUGUCGGACCGCGGAGGUGCGGACGGUCCGUAUGAGGUUCGCGGCCUCGGGGCCUCGGACUCUGCCGCCCCUUUUCCCUGUCUUCUGCUGCACACCUUCCCUGGCUCUCUGGCCCGUCUGGCACACCGUCUGUUUGGUAAAACCAUGGGAUUUAAGGUGGCUCUCGCUCCCCAACCCAGGCACUAAGUUUGGUGGUGGAAAUGCGUCUGCGCAUCAAGUAAGUUAGAGUCUGGAAGGUGUCAUAGUGAUGGCUUCUGCGCAUAAAUACCCGAGAAAACCAGAGAUGCGUUCGUGGUAAGGAAGCAACAGACCCGGACAGCUUGGGGUGAAUGGAUUUCCAUGUGUGUGGCAGGGUCCGGGGGCCACUGUAACAAGGCACCGCACACCGGGGGGCUUCAGACAGCUGAAACGCCCGCUCUUACCGGAGGCGGGAAGUCCAAGAUCAAAGUGGUUCAGCAGGACUGGUUCUCUCGGGGCUCUGAGAGAGAGUCUGCUGGGGCCUCUCGAGCUUCUGCUGGUGGCGGCCAGUCCUUGGCUUGUGCACACAUCCUCCGAUUUCUGCUUCCGUUGUCUCACGGAGCCUUCUCUGCAUGUCCGUGUCCAAAUUUCGCUCUUCUUAUAAGGACCCCAGUUACUGGAUGAGGGCCCUCUAGACUCUAGUACGACAUCGUCUGGAUUGGAUUGUAUCUGUAAUGACCCUAUUUCCAAGUAAGGUCACACUCACUGGAGGUAGGACUUGAACAUCACUUUUUGGGGGACCCAGCACCACCUAGGACAUGGUGAUCUCCACACCUGUCUGUAUUUGCGGCUGCCCUCGGCCCUUCUCUGUCCUCAGCAUCCGCGCUCGUUGGCACUGUGGACACUUGGCUCAGACAACUCCUGGCUGUGGGACUGUCCUGGGCUUUACAGGGGCCUGUCAGCCUCCCUGGCCUAGACUGUUGGCUGCAGCCUCCCCUCAGCUUGCUGCGAUGACCACAGAUGUCUCCAGACAUCACCAAGUGUCCCCGAGGGGACAAGAUCGCCACGGUCGAGAAGCCUUGUGUCACAGUGAUUGUGGUGUUACCAAAUUCCAUGGAGAUUUUAAGACUUACUCUCAUAUGUAUUUACUACUAUGUUAUUUAGUACUGAAAGAUGCAUGAUUCUACUAUCUUUUUCUAGCAUUGCCAAAUAACUCUGUGACUUUUUAAAGUGGAAUUUCAUAUUACCUUUUAUUAAUAUUACUAUUCUUGAGUCUUCUGUUUGUAUUUCCCUGAUCAAUGAUUAUCCGUCCUUUCAAAUUAUUUAUAUUGUUCCUAGUUCAACAUUUCUACAACCGUCACUAUAAACUUUAGAGUUCCGCUCCUCUAGGGAACCUGAGUCUGUUCUGACCAUCCUUCCCACCAAACAGAAGGGGUGUUGUGUUGUCAGUAGACAGAGAAAUUCUUUUAGCCUCGCCUUGUCUGUGCACCAAGAUUGAGCUGUGUGUAAAAAAACAAGAGAACCCUGUAUCCCAUGACUUUUUGUGCAUAACUAAUGUAUCUGUCGGAGUGUGUGAAGAACUCAGUACAUGUAGCAUUCUUCCCUUUUCAGUUCUUGGCAAAAUUUGGUGCCGUGAAAGAGAAGGAAGAUUCUUUCUAAGCCGGUGACUUGGAUGCUUGGUUUCAGAGUCAGUUUGUCCGGCAGGGGAGGGGGGUGGGCAAGACUGGGCACAGAUGGGCCCGUGGUUCAGCCCACGCGGGUCCUGCUUGCUCCUGAUUUUGUGAUCACACCACAAAGCUUGAGAGGACCUAGCCUCUAGAAAUGAGCAGAGCUUCCCGGUUCUGCAAGGACUUCUGAAAAGCUGCUUUUGUUUCUGGAAUGCCCUGACAGAGCAUCCUCUGCAAACAAACCUUCAGAAUCCUUGAGAAGAGAGCAGGAAGUUACAGUGUACCAUUGGCUAUCUCUAACAGGACCUGACAGAUUCUUGAGGCUUUGAAAUGCGAAGAGAACGGCAAACAUUUGGUCACCUAGUGUCGCUUGGGUAAUGAACUGGAGGGGCCUUUCCUGGUCCACCCAAAGGUCCACCCCCUCUCCUGGCCACCCGCUCAUCUGUCAUCUUGCUCAACUGUCGCCUGCACAAAGCCUUUCUCUCCCCUCCCAGGCAGGGCUAGCGGCUUCCUCUUCUUCGGGGUUCCCCAGCCCUUUGUGCCUCUGAUAUUUAGAACUGACUGAGUUGUUCUGUAACGGUUUGUUUAUGUGUUUGUCUCUCCUGGGAGGUGAUGAGCUCCUUGCAGCCAGGGACGAGGUCCCCAUCGUUUUCAUACACUCAUCUCCUCUGUGGAAUAAACCUUGGCUCUCUUUCCACA